UGAGGCAGGAGGAUCACUGAGAGUUUGACACCAGCCUGGGCUACAACAUGAGCUCAAGAUCAGCCUGAACUGCACAGCUAGACCCUGUCUUAUUUUGUUUUGUUUUUUGUCUUUUUGAGACAGGGUCUUGCUAUGUAGUUCAGGCUGGCCUUGAGCUCACUUUGUAUCCCAGGCUGGUCUCAAACUCACAACAAUCCUCCUGCCUCAGCCUCCUGAGUGCUGGGAUUACAGGCAUGCACCACUACAUCCAGC
rnacentral:sRNA from 1 species